CUAUAUUUCAGGUUUAUAGUGCAAGGUUGAAAGGUUUCAAGCUCACGCGCAGAAAUCGUUGAGAAUUUUCCCCUGAAUACUUCUUAUAAAAUAAAUCUAAUAAUGAUUGCUUUAUAUGGUUCUAAAAUGUAUAUGUGCAGGCCUACAAAAGAGUCUACGUGAGGUAAAAUCAAGUGAGGUCUUGAAAUGUUGGGUUCCAAGUUAUUAAAGGGAAUUAAAGGAUUCACAGCGAUUAGUAAAAUUUUACUAAUCUUAAACAAAUGGCUUAACUAUUUUUUUUCAAAACCAUUUUAAUUGAUACUUGUACUGUGUACAUUAGGCUGGAUCUGUUGAUACUUCUACAUUAGGUUGGAUCUGUUGAUACUUCUACAUUAGGCUGGAUCUGUUGAUACUUCUACAUUAGGUUGGAUCGGUUGAUACUUCUACAUUAGGCUGGAUCUGUUUCGCGACCAAAUCUGGCCUCUUAAAAUAUCCUAGAGUAUCCACCUAGUCAUAAUUUGUUAAGGGGUUUGAUUGGAACCUACACUAAGCCUCAGAUCUCUUGGAUACAACUCUACUUCUUUUAGAAUCUCUCUUCGAUAGUAACAGUCUUCUGGUUAGCAAGAAACAGUUAAACUGUAACCUGGAGGAUGAAUAAGUGCGAGAACCUCAGAGGAUCUGGCGGACCUCAUAGCUACACCUCUCGGCGAAAAAUAACGUUAAACUGAAACCUGGAAGAUGAAUGAGUGCGAGUAUAACCGUGAAUCUGUCGAACCUCAGAGGAUCUGGCGGACCUCAUAGCUGCACCUCUCGGCGAAAAAUAACGUCUGAGAAAACUGUAACGCCUCCUGAACCGACAAACCUCACCGCCGAGAAACCAAGAUGUCUCAAGAAAAUGGGACAUCUACGCUACAUCGCUCUCUCUAAUUUGUAUCCCAAUACAAACGAGCAACAUAUUUGCUCUAGAGUAUUGAAGAUAUGAGAAAUAUGAAGAGAUUAAACCAUAAUCUCUCUUCAACGUCCUAGACAGUAGCGCGGAACCAUCAAUGUUCUACGUGAGUCUAGUCCUCAAGUAUAAUGUUUUUUUCUUCCAACUGAAACUUAAUGUUUCUCCAAUAAGCUAAUUUACAUUAGCAAGGAACCUUCAAUGUUCCAAGCUAGUAUGUUUCUUAAUUUCAGAGUCUCUUAUCUUCACGUCGGUCAUAUAGAUUCUAAACCACAUAGAUAAAUUAACAUGCAGCAAGGAACCAUCAAUGUUCCGCGCUAGUAUGUAUCUUAAUUAUAUAGCUUCUUACCUUUACGUUGGCUAAAUAGCGUCAAGACUACAUAGUUUAAUUAAUAUAAAGCCAUACCAACGAAGAACCAUCAAUGUUCUUCGUUGGUACAAUCUGUGUAUUUUUCACAUAGUGUAUAUAGACUUUAUAUCAAGGUUUCAUGAAAAUUGUAAAGUGUUUACGCAAACUGAUUUCUACAUAAAUUGCUCAAAUUAUAUAUAAACGAUUCUGUUAUUAAAAAUUUCUAUUCAAUCCGCAAACCCUAUUUUCGUCAAUAUCUUAUUAUAUGCAUUUAACGUCCUACCAUUUCAUUGGUACAUUUCUCAAUUUUUAUGUUUUGCAUAACCCAAGUAGCCUUGAUUCCAAAUUUUUUAUUUAAAAAUGUAUCCGUAAAUUAACUCUUAUAUAAAUCUCUCAAAAAAUUGUAAACGAAUUUGUUGUAAAACUUUAUUAUUAAACACAU
rnacentral:lncRNA from 1 species